CAGCCGCCACGGUAAAACGGAGGGUGCAAGCGUUAUCCGGAUUUAUUGGGUUUAAAGGGUCCGUAGGCGGAUCUGUAAGUCAGUGGUGAAAUCUCACAGCUUAACUGUGAAACUGCCAUUGAUACUGCAGGUCUUGAGUAAAUUUGAAGUGGCUGGAAUAAGUAGUGUAGCGGUGAAAUGCAUAGAUAUUACUUAGAACACCAAUUGCGAAGGCAGGUCACUAAGAUUUAACUGACGCUGAUGGACGAAAGCGUGGGGAGCGAACAGGAUUAGAUACCCCAGUAGUCCCUGUCUCUUAUAC
rnacentral:rRNA from 1 species